rnacentral:rRNA from 1 species
GAUGAACGCUGGCGGCGUGCUUAACACAUGCAAGUCGAACGGAAAGGCUCCUGCUUGCAGGGGUACUCGAGUGGCGAACGGGUGAGUAACACGUGGGUGAUCUGCCCUGCACUUCGGGAUAAGCCUGGGAAACUGGGUCUAAUACCGGAUAGAACGUUGUUUUGGAUGCCAUUGUGGAAAGUUUUUCGGUUUGGGAUGAGCUCGCGGCCUAUCAGCUGGUUGGUGGGGUAAUGGCUUACCAAGGCGUCGACGGGUAGCCGGCCUGAGAGGGUGUACGGCCACAUUGGGACUGAGAUACGGCCCAGACGCCUACGGGAGGCAGCAGUGGGGAAUAUUGCACAAUGGGCGCAAGCCUGAUGCAGCGACGCCGCGUGGGGGAUGACGGCCUUCGGGUUGUAAACUCCUUUCGCUAGGGACGAAGCGCAAGUGACGGUACCUGGAGAAGAAGCACCGGCUAACUACGUG